rnacentral:rRNA from 1 species
UACAGAGGGUGCAAACGUUGCUCGGAAUUAUUGGGCGUAAAGCGCGUGUAGGCGGCUUGUUAAGUCGGUUGUGAAAACCCAUGGCUCAACCAUGGAAGCGCGUCCGAAACUGGCAAGCUGGAGUCCCGACGAGGGUGGCGGAAUUCCCAGUGUAGAGGUGAAAUUCGUAGAUAUUGGGAAGAACACCGGUGGCGAAGGCGACCAUCUGGACGACAACUGACGCUGAGGCGCGAAAGCGUGGGGAGCAAACAGG